CAACUGUAAAAAGCUUGUGCUCCAAGUAAUGUUGCCACUUUUCCAGGGCCCAGAUAACUGCAAGACAUUCCUUCUCCGUUGCAGUAUAAUUUAGUUCGGCCCCAGUUAAGGUUCGGCUUGCAUAGGCUAUAACCUCCUCUCUGCCUACCUCCCUCCGUUGUGCUUAUAUGGCACCCAGGCCGAUGUCGCUGGCAUCGGUGUAAACAAUGAAUGGCCGCUGAAGAUCGGGAUGGCCCAGAAUGGGAGUGUGUUGAGGGGUUCAGUAAUCUUGGAAAAAUUUGGAACGAAACGGUGAUACCACCCGGCUAACCCGAGGAACCGUUGAACUUCCUUCACGUUCGUAGGCACAGGAUAGGUAUGAAUGGCUUCAGUUUUACAUGGGUCUGCUGAAAUGCCUUUGACACUUACAACAUGUCCUAGGAAGGUGAGUUCUUGAAGACAGAAUUUACUUUUCUUUAAGUUUAUGGUGAGACCAGCAGUUCCUAGUCUAUGGAGGAUAGUCUGGAGGUCGUGGAAAUGCUGAGUUAUUGAAGGCGAGUACACAAUGAUGUCAUCGAUGUACACAAAGCAUAUUUUUCUCCUUAGUUCUCCCAGAACUGUCUCCAUAAGCCUCUGAAAAGUUGCGGGAGCAUUUUUGAGACCAAACGGCAUAACAUUAAAUUGAUAGAGACCUGCAGGAGUGAUGAAGGCUGUCUUGGUUUUGCUGUUGGGAUCCAUGGUCACCUGCCAAUAUCCACUGUUUAGAUCAAUAGUAGAGAAGAUGGCUGCCCCAGAGAGGGAUUCCAGAAUUUCUGUGAUGUUGGGAAGAGGACCACCGGUGAUGCCCAAGCAGAGUGGGAUGGUUCAACUAUUCCUUGCCUCAACAUCUCAUCAAGUUGCUCCUCCAGGGCAAAUUGCUUGAGGGGAGACAAACGGUAUGGCCGUUGUUUAAUGGGGACUUGGCUGGUGGCAUAAAUGCUGUGUUGGAGAACCUCAGUACGUCCAGUACGGAGAGUACACACCUGAGGGCUUUCGUUCAGGAUUUGGAGUAAAUGUAGCUUUUCAUCAAAGGGUAAAUGAGCAGCGUCCACAGCAUUUUUUAUCAAUGUCUUUUCAUCGAUACCAUCUGGGUGUUGAAUUUGAAAUGGUGAUGAUGGAGGGGGCACAGAAGUUAAUAAGGAAAGGUUUUGUGUGGCUUCCUUAAAUUGACAUCUCUCUUUUUGGGGACUUGCAUUUGGCACACUUGGAUUUCCUGGUUGAAAGGGGUACUCUUUUGAAGGAUCCAGCUUGAAGGAGUAUUUUUGAUCAAUGACAUUGAGUUGCAGCCCACUGAAGAAAAAUAAAGUCCAACCCCAAGACUACAGCAUAAGCUAGAGCUUGGGAUGAAAGUACAGCAGUAGAUAAAGAGGACCACGGCACCACGGUUGCAGCUGGUCGGGGGAUGUUAGCUGCCUCAUGAGAUUCUCAUGGAUGAGUGUGUAGCUUGCACCAGUGUCCACAAUGGCUUUACCUGACCAGGCAUCGAUACAAAGGGGAACAACUAGUUGUUGAGCAACAGAGUUGUUGGACGGAUGACCACCUGACUUGGGGUGAGAAGGUUGUUUGCUGCUGGUGGAAUACUGUGGACCAGACGUCUGAGGUGACUGGGGAGAGGUAUAGUGUGGACAUUUUCCUGGUGGAUGCUGUCCUCUACAUCUCCAGCACUGAACUGGGAUUUUCUCAGUAGGGUGGUUUGAGUAGGGUCUUUGUGAUGGGGCUUGAUGCUUAGGGCCCAUUCGACCACAAUCAUAACGAAGCUGUUGCUCAUAAUCUCUUUCCAGUUGAUGUCCUAAUUUUACCAGCUCUUCCACAGUAUUUACUCGGCUACGCAAUUGGCUGGCAAGUACGGACACGUUCAGCCAGUUCGUCCUCAUAAUCCUCAGAAAGGAAAGCAGAUAUGAAUGCAGUCUCAAACUCAAUCCAAGUGGUUAUGCUGGACCGUCUGACUUCCCACCAGUCUCGUGCUGUUCCGUACAAGACAGUACGGAAGGUAGCCAGGAUGUCUGCAUCUGUCAGGGGAUGUACAGCCAAAAAAUCCUGACAUUUAGUUAGGUACAAUAGGGGGUCUGCAUCGUCUGAAGGCCUUCCAAAUGUGGGGAAGGUUAAUUUAAUAUGGUCACUUUUAACCACAGAUGUUAACAGAGGGGUUGAAGAAGUUGAAAGAGUCACUGGAGCAGAAGGAGAUGGCUGGGAUGAAAUACUGGUAGUGCUGGGACCUGGUGCUGUCAGUACACUUAAUUUUUGUUGAUCUGCACUUUUUUUAACACUUUGAAAUCCUUUCUCCACUUCACUUUUCAACUCUUUGAAACCGUAUUUUGAACAGCUUUGAUGUCCUGCUGAACCUCUGCUUGGAGUUGAUCAACCAUGAAUCGUAGUUCGGACACCAAGGUAGAUUCCACCUUCUGGAGUUCUUCCGUGAUCAUUACCUUCAUCGCUUUAGUCAGCAAGAUCAGCAAUCUGGCUCUGGUGCUGAGAAGAGGUAUCUUUCACUUCCUGGGAGUUGGUAGAAUGUUGGGCAGGUCAUGUUGUGCCACUGACGAAGGAGUUCCACCUUCAGAAGAGGUGCAAAGUUGCAUGUUAUCUACUUGUGUUGCCCAGGUGAGAGUUUGUACUGGAGUGCUCCCAGCCAGAGCAGGAGAGGACAUGUGCACACGGGUUCCAGGAUGAACAGAACUGAGUGGAGUGGGGGUAUGGUAGAACACCGGAGCAUAUGGAGGUUGUUCCAGAGGCAUCCCUGGUCGCAGUGCAGGCGGCCAUACUGGAGUUGAGAUGUCUGGUGGAGGCUCAAUUUCCACAAAAGUAGUUUGGGAAGGAGGGGUAUGCGCCAUGAUUGCUGUGAUUGAGUGUAAGAAUGUUGAGUGUGAAAAACAAUAAAUAUCAGUAAAUGAGAUGUGUAUCAGUGUGUUUGUCCCUGAAAUAUUUCUACUAAACAACAGAAUACAACUUUUCACAACUGUUCAAUCAGUAUUAUCUCACAACCACUAGGUAAAUCAAAACAAUAAGUAUUCAAAGUAAUUCACCUUCACUUAUUUCAAAUAUUCAAACAAUUAUCAAUUACUGUGACACCUUAGAGAUAACACCUCUAAUUGUUCAUUUAGCGUUCACAGUUUAUACAAAAAAAAACAAUUUUCAC
ensembl:lncRNA